GCGGCGGAGGCUUAGUGGCUUAGCAUAGGAUUGCAAAUCCUGGGGUCCCGAGUUCGAUUCUCGGUCGCCGCU
rnacentral:tRNA from 1 species